AAUCUAUACUUAUAAUAAAACUGUAACGGGUCGAAUUCUGUACAUUGAAGAUAUUUGAAAAAUUUUUUUUGGCACUCUAUAAUCGAUACUGAAGCCAAAACUGUAAUUUUUUUCAUUUUUGUCUGUCUGUCUGUCUUUGUGUCUGUCUGUCUGUCUGUCUGUCUGUCUGCUACGUUUUCACGGCCC